rnacentral:rRNA from 1 species
UACGAGGGGGGCGAGCGUUGUUCGGAAUUAUUGGGCGUAAAGGGUGCGUAGGCGGUUUGGUAAGUCUGUCGUGAAAUCCCCGGGCUCAACCUGGGAAUGGCGAUGGAGACUGCAAGGCUAGAAUCUGGCAGAGGGGGUAGAAUUCCACGUGUAGCAGUGAAAUGCGUAGAUAUGUGGAGGAACACCGAUGGCGAAGGCAGCCCCCUGGGCUAAGAUUGACGCUCAUGCACGAAAGCGUGGGGAGCAAACAGG